GCCAGACUCCUACGGGAGGCAGCAGUGGGGAAUAUUGCACAAUGGGCGCAAGCCUGAUGCAGCCAUGCCGCGUGUAUGAAGAAGGCCUUCGGGAUGUAAAGUACUUUCAGCGGGGAGGAAGGUGUUGAGGUUAAUAACCUCAGGAAUUGACGUUACCCGCAGAAGAAGGACCGGCUAAUUCCGUGCCAGCAGCCGCGGUAAUACGGAGGGUGCAAGCGUAAAUCGGAAUUACUGGGCGUAAAGCGCACGCAGGCGGUCUGUCAAGUCGGAUGUGAAAUCCCCGGGCUCAACCUGGGAACUGCCUUCGAAACUGGCAGGCUGGAGUCUUGUAGAGGGAUGUAGAAUUCCCGGUGUAGCGGUGAAAUGCGUAGAGAUCUGGCGGAAUUCCGGUGGCGAAGGCGGCCCCCUGG
rnacentral:rRNA from 1 species